GUGCUCACUUUGGCAGCACAUAUACUAAAACUGGAAUGAUACAGAGAAGAUUAGCAUGGCCCCUGCACAAGGAUGACACACAAAUUCGUGAAGCGUUCCAUAUUUUU
rnacentral:snRNA from 1 species